CAGUCGCCACGGGAAUACGAAGGGGGCUAGCGUUGCUCGGAAUCACUGGGCGUAAAGGGUGCGUAGGCGGGUCUUUAAGUCAGGGGUGAAAUCCUGGAGCUCAACUCCAGAACUGCCUUUGAUACUGAAGAUCUUGAGUAUGGGAGAGGUGAGUGGAACUGCGAGUGUAGAGGUGAAAUUCGUAGAUAUUCGCAAGAACACCAGUGGCGAAGGCGACUCACUGGCCCAUAACUGACGCUGAGGCACGAAAGCGUGGGGAGCAAACAGGAUUAGAUACCCGUGUAGUCCCUGUCUCUUAUAC
rnacentral:rRNA from 1 species